UGCAUGCAUAGUUGCUUUUCUAAGCUUAUCUCAUAUAAUCUUCGUUGUAGGAAAUUCCUACACCCUGGCUAUGUGCCAAAUGGCUGCCAAUUUAGGUCUUAUCAUUUAAUUGAAAGGAUAGUUGAUUCCAAGUGGAGAGGGAAUUCUAGUGGCUAUGUCUCUAUUCUGUAAGAUUGAAAGUGGGAAAAGAAUCUCGAAGAUGAAUUUAUCAAGCAUUGCAACCAAAAUUAGUUUAGCGAACCCAAAAAUUGUAGGAG
rnacentral:lncRNA from 1 species